GAGAGCAUAUAUAUAAAAUCUCUCAUCGCCGUAUCGCCUCUGAGAAAAUCCGUUCCGAGUUUAGUAGAGAGAGAGCUCCUACCACACCGAAGAGGAUUUAGGAAAUGGCAGAGUCGAAGGUUGUAGUUCCGGAGUCGGUGCUGAA